rnacentral:misc_RNA from 1 species
CAAACAUGUAAAUAGAAACAAUCACAAUCUCUAAGUGGAAUCCUUUUUGUGAUGAUAAUUUGUAAGUCAUCUUGCACAUUAACAGGUUUAAAAGUGCAAGUUUUUAACUUUCCACCAAUCAUUUUCUAAAUUAUUGCAGAUUUUUUUAAAUAAAUCAAUUCAAUAGAAGAUUUUUUUCUGAACUGUUACUUUUUGAUAUACAAUUGCUCACAUUUCAUGUUUUAGAAACAAUGUUAAUUAUACAUUUUGUUGUUAAAAUGUUGUGAUCUUUUUUUUUUACACUGUUUGCUUCUACUGUGAUUUGAAUAUAUUUUUGGCACUUUUGAAAUCAUCAAGAAUUGUUUACAAUGUUUGAUAUUUUUGAAAUAGGGACAAGUCUGGUAUUGAGUACUUGUAUUGCCCCUUUUUAACGCAGUGGAUUCCUGGUUCAUCGCUAUUUGAUGAACUCCAAUUUUUUGUAGAUUUCAUUGUUAUUUUGAUGAAUCUUCAGAUGUACACGUUCAGUAAGAAGCAAGAUUUGUUUUUCUUUGGUUGGAUCAAUCUCUAUGAUCCAGCAUAUCUUCAAAACUAAUUUUCACUAAAUCGACGAGAAUUAGUUCAAAUAAAUAAUUAUGAAACCACAGUAUUUUUUCAAGUUUUAAAUAUUGUGUCAAUUUUUUAUUGUGUAAGAUAAUAAAUUAUAUCGAUAAUUAUGUCUUCAAAUUUAUCUUACUGUAUACUGCGUAUAAACAUGUCUCUACAUAAGUUAUAUAUUGCAUUUUUUUUUCAUGAAAAUAUUUGAGAAAAAGAUUAAUUAAGAUGGCUGACUGAAUUUGAAAUAUGAUUUAGAAAAGAAAAAAAAUCUUUUAUAAAGGCUUAUUGUUCACAAGCCUGUUUUUAUCUUGUCAUAUAUAAUGUUGGUCUGUACAUAUACAUUUGUUUACUAUCCAGAUAUACUUUAUAACCCCUCUGAGGGUUCAUUGUAGUGGCUCACAGUCAUACAGACUAAGAGUUACCUCUCUUGGAAUAUAUUAUAAAUAUUCACUACCUGUC